rnacentral:rRNA from 1 species
GAUGAACGCUGGCGGCGUGCCUAAUACAUGCAAGUCGAGCGAACAGACGAGGAGCUUGCUCCUCUGACGUUAGCGGCGGACGGGUGAGUAACACGUGGAUAACCUACCUAUAAGAAUGGGAUAACUUCGGGAAACCGGAGCUAAUACCGGAUAAUAUAUUGAACCGUAUGGAUCAAUAGUGAAAGACGGUUUUGCUGACACUUAUAGAUGGAUCCGCGCCGCAUUAGCUAGUUGGUAAGGUAACGGCUUACCAAGGCAACGAUGCGUAGCCGACCUGAGAGGGUGAUCGGCCACACUGGAACUGAGACACGGUCCAGACUCCUACGGGAGGCAGCAGUAGGGAAUCUUCCGCAAUGGGCGAAAGCCUGACGGAGCAACGCCGCGUGAGUGAUGAAGGUCUUCGGAUCGUAAAACUCUGUUAUUAGGGAAGAACAAAUGUGUAAGUAACUAUGCACGUCUUGACGGUACCUAAUCAGAAAGCCACGGCUAACUACGUG